CUACGGGCCGCUGCAGUCGAGAAUAUUCCACAAUGGGCGAAAGCCUGAUGGAGCGACGCCGCGUGCAGGAUGAAGGCCCUCGGGUUGUAAACUGCUUUUAUAGGAGAAGAAGUUCCGAUGAAUAAUCGGAAUUGACUGUACUCUAUGAAUAAGGGGCUGCUAACUUCGUGCCAGCAGCAGCGGUAAUACGAAGGCCCCGAGCGUUAUCCGGAUUUAUUGGGCGUAAAGAGCGCGUAGGAGGUUCGGUAAGUUUGGUGUUAAAUCUCUCCGCUUAACGGGGAGGCCGCAUUGAAUACUGCCGGACUAGAGGAUGUGAGAGGUUGGCGGAACGCACGGUGUAGGGGUGAAAUCCGUUGAUAUCGUGCGGAACACCGAAGGCGAAGGCAGCCAACUGGCGCAUUCCUGACUCUAAGGCGCGAAAGCGUGGGGAGAGAAAAGGAUUAGAUACCCCCGUAGUC
rnacentral:rRNA from 1 species